rnacentral:lncRNA from 1 species
GGCAGUGCUCGGGAUCUUUGCUGAUGUCCAAGUUCAUCUCUCGGGGAGACCGAGUUUGAAUCAAAUCUGCGUGCGCCCAGCUGUCAAAUCUGCAAACCUAUCACGCCAGACAAUGGGCCGCCGCGGAGGACAGACAAGAAUGGCUCAUUUUGAUCGAGGGGGGUAAAUUGAAAAGGGCACGGGCUUUGGUUGAAGUUUGAGGCCCGGGUGUCAGGGCGGGGAGAAGAAGAGGAGGAAGGAGGAGGGUUGGGCCGCUCUCCAUUCAACCACACAUCAGCCAGGCGCGCCCCUCGGCUGCAGCGGCUGCUUGCAGGCGGGCUGCAUAUUGUGUGGAGUCGCCAAAGAGGGUCUGCGCCUCGGGGCGCGCCCCAAACCCGGGGGACAUCCUACGGAUCCGCACUUCUCUUGUGCUGUACGCGUGUUCCUCCAGGACUUUACCAUGGUGCAAAAGCCAUAUACAUUCAGUAGAAACUGUAUUUUGACUAUGGACCAUACAAUCAUUCUAUUUUUCACUGUCAGUCUCUUGUAGAAGUCAAAGAAUCGAUGAAGACACAGCCCACUUCUGGUAUGUCAGGAUGAGAUCAGCAGGCAAAGAAGCCAGGGAGUAGGAGAAUCUAUAUGUCAAAAGCUGAUCUUCCAAGGAAAGCUGUGAACAGAAAGAUGUGGCCCAUACUGUAGCCUAAGACUUCCCGUAGUAGGAGCUAAUAAAAAUAAUAAUUAAAAAAAUCACUGCUUUACAACUACAUCCAUUAACUUUUUUUUUUCUUUUUUUCUUCUUUUUUUUGAGACAGAGUCUCGAGCUGUCGCCUGGGCUGGAGUGCAGUGGCAUGAUCUCAGCUCACUGCAACCUCUGCCUCCUGGGUUCAAGCAAUUCUCCUGUCUCAACCUCCUAAGUAGCUGGGAUUACAGGCACCCACCACCACAACCAACUAAUUUUUUUGUAUUUUUAGUAGAGAUGGGAUUUCAGUAUGUUGGCCAGGCUGGUCUCAAACUCCUAACCUUGUGAUCCACCCACCUCAGCCUCCCAAAGUGCUGGGAUUACAGGCGUGAACCACCACGCCCGGCCUACAUCCACUAACUUCUAAAGGCAGCAAACACAGAUGCCAAUCCGGAUGAGCUUUGGGACGUGGAAUGAAAACAAGACUGAAAACACUGACUCACUUCUUCAGAAGCCUUUUAGCAGCCUCCAAGACAGCAACAACCUCUGAUUUCCAUUGAUGCACGUUUGGUCUAAGUGGUGGGAUGGGGCCUCUCCCACCGCUGAUAAAGCAAGAGAAGAAGCAGAGAUCACCAAAGACGUGGGGAUAAGUGACCCCUAGGCCCCUCUGCAACAAUGAAGGCUCUGUAACACAGCACUGUUCUUGUCAUGCCACUUACCCCGGCAUCUUUCAAGAAAUGCCAUGGAAAUGCACUGUUUACCGAAACCAAAACCUCUGGAAGCACUAUAGUAUGAGCCCGCUAACACAAUUAACUUGCAGUUAAUGACGAUGCCCCCGCCAGAACUAAUUAAGCCAGUGGUGCUUGUAGCACAAAAGAUUGGGGCCUGUUUUAAAGCAUCAAUUGUGACAUCAUUUAGAAGUCAUUUCAAACUCCUCCAAACUCCAAAACUAUUCCUCUGAAAACAAAUGCAGUAUAAUGUUCUUAGAGUUGUUGGUUUUAUUUUCUGCUGUCAAAAAUCUGACAAAAGUCAGUUGAAACUGUCAAGGAAAAACAUCACACCAUAUGAGAUUUUCCUCAAAUUUGAAGUCUAUAGAAGGAAUGACAAAUCUGUUUUAUAGAUUUUUCUAGCACAAAAGCAAAUUAGGAAAGUCUAGGAGACACACUAUCACAAUACAUACAUGAGGUUGCGCUUGACGCAGUUCGUAAAUUUGAGGCCAUGACAAAGAAUUAAAAUUAGAUCAAUUUGGUUUUGAUCUGAAUUAUCUGUUCAGCUUAAAGUACAGAAGGA